UGUGCUUUGGCUGGUGAUCAGGCUGUGCUAUUGUGGAAGGCUUUCUGCUUCACUGACCAUGUGAUAUUUUCAAUAUCUAGGUACUACACGAGUGUGUGAGAAUAUUGCAAGCCAUCUGUUGAACUAUGGACGCCGUAUCCCUCUGGAGGAGUGGGAUGCCAGGAUUUCUGCUGUUGAUGCAAGAAUGGUGAGAGAUGUCUGCAGUAAAUACAUUUAUGACAAAUGCCCGGCAAUUGCAGCAGUGGGUCCCAUUGAACAGCUCUUGGAUUACAACCGUCUCCGCAGUGCCAUGUACUGGAUCCGUCUCUAGGAUGUGUGCCUGCAGGUUGGAAGGAGUGAAGCUGUGGACUGUGACAGGUUCCUUCUGCCACUGAAUGCCUUGUGCACCACGGGCAGGCUGAGUCCAUUCAAAGCAGCUGUCUUCUCGGUGUUAAAUGUAUAAAAAUAAAAACAUCCCGUGUGGAGUUGGUUCUGCUGGG
ensembl:lncRNA